GACCAGAACGCUCCGGUUUACGAGGUCCACACAGAGAAUGGUCAAAAUAAACUGGUCAAAAAAGAAACAGCGCCCAUAACUGAUGUGAAGUUCUACCACGACAAGGAAAAUGGUGGUUCGUUCAUGGUUGAAUGCGCCAAGAGAUCAAAGGGCGCGUGCCGACGAACACUGACUGGUAGCUUGGAGAUUGACAAUUACGCCUUUGAAAUCAACCCGACGCGGGAAAUGUUUGUGUCAAGGUCACUGGCCGGCAACAAGCUUAAUCCCAUAUGCUUUCCAGGGUGGUA